rnacentral:lncRNA from 1 species
AAAGAAUGUGAUAUAUCUGUAAUGUACCCUGAAGAAAAGACACAAACAUGGCAACUAAGUUUCAAUGGGGGACAUAUUAACAAAUGUAAAAUUGGACCUUUGAUGGCAAAAUAACAUAAUUUGAUUGUCAUGAACUAUACAUUUUGGGGGUGUCCAUGAACUAUAGUUUCCUAGAAUUGCCAAGGAAAUCUAGUCCAUUAGCAUCUCAUCACCUGCAAAAAAGUGACUGCACAAAUAACUACACAAUGCUAAAUGGCGACAUCUACAAAAAUUUGCAAACAAAGAAAUUGUGGGAGCUAUUGAAACUCACUACGUUGUUGCCGUAGUCAGCUCGAGGACCAAAUAUGUGCGUCACCGUCGAGCUUGUAAUCAAGCUACCCCUGCCCCGACGGCACCGUCGCGUGGCAGAUCCCCAUCUGCACAAGGCGAUGGUGGAGCCCAGGACCACGCGGGGCGAAGGCGCGCUAGGACGUGGGGCGGGCGGAGAUCCCUUGGUAGGCACCAAACACGGGGCCGCGGCGUGGUUCUCCUCCUCGUCAUCCUUGACACACGAGUCCGUCCUCGACGUAGUCGCAUAGGCAGCGUCGGUCCGGCCGCACCGAUGUGGCGGGGUUGCGCGCCCGCGGGGCUGGUGGUGGCGCAGAAGAGCUCCAUCGGUCGAUCCAGCUGGAGCGUGAGGACGGGGCCGGCGGCGGCCGGCGGGGACGACGAGCCCAUCAAUCUCCACCCCUAGCACCUCGGCCUCUGUGACCGGCAAUCACCACGCGCGCGAGGCUCCCUCCUCCACCGUCAACACGGCGCCGCGCGCCGGCAUCUUGGCCGACUGCUGCCUCCGCCGACCACCAUCGAGGAUUCGAAUCACAGCAGCUUCACCCGCCUCUUCCCGCUCCUCGCCUCGCCGCCACACGCCUCCUCUCCUGACAUCGCACAGCUUCGGGUACGGCGCAGGCUGCAUAACUGCCGAUUGGCUCGCCGCCGGCCGCCUCGCCGCCUGCGCAAGGGCUCUCUCUCGCUCCUCUGUCCCAUGUGCGAUGAAGAAAUGGCGAGAGAGUGGGGAACGAAGAAAAGGAUAAGAGAGGUGCGGCCGUGCGUGCGUUCGGGGACGAGGCGAGUUUUUCCGAACGGGCUCAAAGCAUGACGUGGCGCCGUGGUUGCUUUAUGAUUCGUGCAGACAAUCCAACGACGCUGAGCGCGUUCGGGCUGAGAUGCGAAAACGCAGCGCAUUCGGGAGUUAUCGAUUCCGUUUGGACCGCGAUAACUGCCGAAGGUUCGGUCUGGGAGAGCCCCAGAUCGAACGAUUCGUUCGGUCAUAUUGAGGCAUCGAUUGAACGCAUGCGUUCGGGACGAGAGUCGCCCAGCCCGAACACCCUACCUCGGGAGCCUAGAGGCCUUUUUGUUGUGGAAAAAAGAAGAAGCCCAGAUUGUGCCGAUUUUUACUAUGACCAAAAAAGCCCACUAUUGGAUGUGACUAAUGAAGGCAAUUUUGCCAUGCAAUGAAAAAAAGUCACAAAAUGCUGCAAAAAUAAAAAUUUAUGAAUGAACCAUGAGAUCUCUACCCCUAUAAUAUGAAUGAACCAGAAAGAACUUCUCUGCAAAGAUGUCAAAAUGUAUGAAUUUGCCAUGGCAAUUUUUGUUGUUUACCAAUCAAAAACAUGGCAAAAUGUGCAGUGUGGAUGCAUAUGAACUUGCCAUCACAGAAAAAGUCCAAAAAAUGUCAUUAUAGAUAGAAAAUGGAAAACAAGAUACUACUAAAAGAAUCCCAAUGGUUUCAAACCAAAAAUUGCCAUCACUUUAUAAACAAUUUUGUAUCUGUACCAUGAUGGCAAGAAAAUAUUUUUUAUGCAAUGGCUCAAAAAAGAAAAAAAUAUCAUGGCAGUUUGCAUAUGUACCAUGAUGGCAAAAAAAUAUGGAUUAAAAAUUUGUAUGCUACUUUUACUAUAUAAAUUUGCCGAAGCACAAAACAAAAAAUGCACAAUCUAUUGUUUAGUAAUAAUUGUCGUGUUUUCUAUGUAUUUUUGCCAUGGCAAAAUAAAAGUAAAACUUGCCAUGCUGCAUAGAAGUAUGUUUGCCAUGAGUGACAAAAAUUAAAAUUGAAAUGGAAAUUAAAUAAAAAAAUCAUAGGAAAUAAAAGGAAAAUUUGCCACGGCAAUAAAACGUUAAUUUUGCCAUGGUGUAGAAAAAUUUAUAAUUGGCAUUCAAAAACAAAAGUAAAAUUUGCCAUGUUAAUAAAGAUCAAAUGAAUAGUAAAUCUUGCCAUGGCAAUAAAAGUUAAAAAUUGCCAUGGGAAUUUAGGUAAAUUUGCCAUGUUAAUAAAGAUAAAUUAACCAUGGCAAAAAUAACAAGUAAAACUUGCCAUGGCAAUAAAAGUUAAAUAUUGCCAUGGGGAUUUAGAUAAAUUUGCCAUGAAAAUGAAGGUGUAUUAGCCAUGGAAAAUAAAUAGUAAAACUUGCCAUGGCAAUAAAUGUUUGAUAUUGCCAUGGGGAAUUAGGUAAAUUUGUCAUGUUAAUAAAAGUCAAAUAAAUAGUAAACUUGCCAUGGCAAUAAAAGUUAAAAAAUUGCCAUGGGAAUUUAGGUAAAUUCGUCAUGUUAAUAAAGGUGAAAUAAUUAGUAAAACUUGUCAUGGCAAUAUUUGCCAUUUUGUGUUAUAAUCAAAAGCUACCAUGGCAAUAAAGCAAUGAAUUUGCCAUGAUCAGAGAACUAAAUUUGCCAUGAUCAAUAAACUAAAGUUUUAAAAGUUUAGAUGGCAAAAAGUAUAAGAUUAGUUGCCAUGGCAAGAAAGCAUGGCAAUUAAGUUUCGAUGGGGACAUAUCCAAAAAUAAAAAGUUGCCAUGGCAAGAAUGCAAUAAAUCUGUAAUUUUCCCUAAAGAAAAGACACAAGCAUGGCAACUAAAGUUCCGAUGGGGACAUAUCCAAAAUCAAAAGUUGCCAUGGCAAAAAGAAUGUGAUAUAUCUGUAAUGUACCCUGAAGAAAAGACACAAACAUGGCAACUAAGUUUCAAUGGGGGACAUAUUAACAAAUGUAAAAUUGGACCUUUGAUGGCAAAAUAACAUAAUUUGAUUGUCAUGAACUAUACAUUUUGGGGGUGUCCAUGAACUAUAGUUUCCUAGAAUUGCCAAGGAAAUCUAGUCCAUUAGCAUCUGAUCACCUGCCAAAAAGUGACUGCACAAAUAACUACACAAUGCUAAAUGGCGACAUCUACAAAAAUUUGCAAACAAAGAAAUGGUGGGAGCUAUUGAAACUCACUACGUUGUUGCCGUAGUCAGCUCGAGGACCAAACAUGUGCGACACUUUCGAGCUUGUAAUCAAGCUACCCCUGCCCCGACGGCGCCGUCGCGUGGCAGAUCCCCAUCUGCACAAGGCGAUGGUGGAGCCCAGGACCACGCGGGGCGAAGGCGCGCUAGGACGUGGGGCGGGCGGAGAUCCCUUGGUAGGCACCAAACACGGGGCCGCGGCGUGGUUCUCCUCCUCGUCAUCCUUGACACACGAGUCCGUCCUCGACGUAGUCGCAUAGGCAGCGUCGGUCCGGCCGCACCGAUGUGGCGGGGUUGCGCGCCCGCGGGGCUGGUGGUGGCGCAGAAGAGCUCCAUCGGUCGAUCCAGCUGGAGCGUGAGGACGGGGCCGGCGGCGGCCGGCGGGGACGACGAGCCCAUCAAUCUCCACCCCUAGCACCUCGGCCUCUGUGACCGGCAAUCACCACGCGCGCGAGGCUCCCUCCUCCACCGUCAACACGGCGCCGCGCACCGGCAUAUUGGCCGACUGCUGCCUCCGUCGACCACCAUCGAGGAUUCAAAUCACAGCAGCUUCACAC